AUGGUCCAAACAGAGCUGAUAAAUAACCAGAUGAAACUGUCAAGAGCCAUAUUUGACCUUGGUGGUGUUCCUGAUCCGGUCCAUCUGGCUGAUGUUCAAACCAGCCUCACCAGGAUCCAACAGAUUCUUUUGCAACUCAAAAGCUUCUGGGAAAAGGUUGGGGUGAUGAUGACUAAUUUGGAGCAGAAGACCUUUGCUGCGGAUAACCUUGUUGGAUUCCUUGAUGAUCCUGAGUUUAAGGAUAUAUUCUAUACUUCCUUGGAAGUUGCCUCAAAGGCUUGGGAUGCAUUUAAAUCUGGAUGCCAGAGCGUCAUGGGCAUGUUUAGUGUCCAGUCAAAGGAUGCUUACAAGUUCCUGGAGACAAGCCCAUCCUCUCUCAGCGCAGAACAGUGGAAAAAAGAGUAUGAUGCUGUCGAAAAGCAGCUGGAGAAAUUUUAUCCUGCCCUCCAGGAGAAGCAAGACCGUGAGGAACAAAUGGCCAUCAAGUGA
rnacentral:lncRNA from 1 species